AGCACAAACUUGAAGUAGAAUAGUUGGGUAUGAUCAGCUGAACCUACUAAUUUACCUACUUCAAGUUUGUGCUC
rfam:Haemonchus contortus, ISE/inbred ISE, WGS project CAVP01000000 data, contig: Hcontortus_contig_pathogens_Hcontortus_scaffold_2851